GCCACCCAUUCCUCUCCUUUUUCUUAUUCUCAGCCAAACCUCUCUACAAACUCUUCAUCUCCCACCUUAAUACCCCUUUUCCCCCCCAGGAACACUUAGUUUUCUCUUCAGUGCUAAACUCAUGACAAUUUUGCUCCCAUGCCACAAGCUUCUCAUGACAAAUUAGAAAAUUUAUAUGUAAGUUGUUGUCAUUUUCGUUGGUGAAGGUAACCAACGUGUUUCCUAAAGCUUCUCUGUCCUUUCGAAGUAUUCUUGGGGCUUGAUUUCUGAACUCAGGUACAUGGGAUGAUUUCUUUAGUUCGCUCCUUACGGCAGCCCAGCCCAUUUGUAGCUGUCUAAAGAAAAAAAGCCCCUACACUAUGACAGUAUAAACAAUGUACUUCUAUGAAAUGGUAUUAACAAUGUUUUUCUAUGGAAUGCUAUUAACAAUGAACUUCUAUGGAAUGGUAUUAACAGUGUACUUCUAUGACAUGAUAUUAACAUUGUACUUUUAUGAUAUGGUAUUAACAAUGUACUUCGGGCUUGCUGGCCUUGUUUUGAGUUUUUUUUUAGUUUUUUUGUGUUGGGCUUAUUUUAAAUUAAU
rnacentral:lncRNA from 1 species